rnacentral:rRNA from 1 species
AGUAAUACAUCGGAACGUGUCUUCUAGUGGGGGAUAACUGCCCGAAAGGGCAGCUAAUACCGCAUGAGACCUGAGGGUGAAAGCGGGGGAUCGCAAGACCUCGCGCUGGAAGAGCGGCCGAUGUCCGAUUAGCUAGUUGGUGAGGUAAAAGGCUCACCAAGGCGACGAUCGGUAGCUGGUCUGAGAGGACGACCAGCCACACUGGGACUGAGACACGGCCCAG